CUCCAGUGUUCCUGUCUGGAGAAUCCCAGGGACUGUGGGGCCUGGUGGGCUGCCGUCUAUGGGGUCGCACAGAGUCGGACACGACUGAAGUGACUUAGCAGCAGCAGCAGCUACCCCUUUCAAACGUUUGUUGGCAGCUAGGGGAUCCGAUAUAUUUACCAUGAAGUACCUAAAAGGGCGGAGAAUUAUAAAGUGCCCUGGAAGGAGGUGAAGUAGAAGGUUUGGCAAAGAAGGUCGCCCCAUCUUCAGGAGGCUCCGAGUAUCUGAUUAAAUAAGAGAGAGGGAAGAGAGAGGGAAUUCCCUGGUGGUCUGUUGAGGCAAUCUGAGAAAUGGCUGGAAAAGAAUUUCCAGACACAGAGCAUUUCAGGAAGAGAGUGAAUUUGUUAAGAACAAAGAACAGAGAUAACAUAGGCACUGUGAGUGCAGAGGGGCUGACCUCCUGACAGACCAGGGAAAGCUGGCAGUUUUUGUGGGUUAAUAGCCAAUUUUUAUACUCUUAAGACAAAAGUCCUGCUGGAUGGUUGGAGUUAUUAGGUGAUUUGUUGGGGUGCUAUAGGGUAUUUACUCGAAUGGGCAUCUUUGCCUUAUUGGAAGUCAGGAAGCUUGUUAGUGAUUAUCAGGAGCUUUUGGCAGUAGUUACAAAGGGCUCGGUCAGCUUCUGCAAUGACCUUGGUUCUGGGCUCUGCUUCUGUGGCCUUGGGGCAGGUAGGCCUCAACUUGGUCCAGUGGUUGGAGCUCAGGGCUUUCACUGCUGAGGCAAAGGUUUGAUCCCUGGUGGGGAACUAAGAUUCUGCAAGCCAUGAGGCUGAAAAAAAAAAAAAGAGAAAUUGUUGUCAUAAGAAGGCAAAGAAAUGCACUAUUUAAAAUUGUUCACAGUGACAACAAAGUUCCAAAUCCUGAAGGAACUGAGCCUCACACUAGUAUCUGGACAUCCUAGUAUCUAGGACAGUUAGACCUUUCUGACUGAAGAUUUGACCUGAGGGAAUUCUGACACUCGCUAUAAGUCUUAGGUAAUAAUUCAUCGUACAAGGCUAAUUAUUUGGCCAGUUAGUUGGUCAAGGACAUGAAAAGAGCAUGAUUGGGAGAACUGAUAACAGGGAAGACUUGGGAAGGAAUAUGGUGAUGGACUUUGCCGAAUGAAUGUUAGGAAUCAUCUGGAUGAAAUGAACCACUUUGUGGAUGAAACUUAGCCUCCUUUGCCAGGCUCAGUGGUUGUUCAGUAGACUCAUGAAUGAAAUGGCAGUGAUGACAAGGUUAGAGCUAUGCAUGGGAUCACCCAGCCACUGCUGAGUGUUCAGUUUGCUGGCAGCAGAGACCAGUCCUGAGGUGGUGAUAGACCUCAUGCUCCAGGAAGACCAGUCAACCACUUGGAGGCAAGUGGAUUUCAUUGGCCCUCCCUGCCAUUGAGGAAGCGAUACUUGUUUGUCCUUUCUGAAAUACACUUACUUUAAGUUUAAAUAUGCUUGUCUUACUGAAGACCUAGUUAUGGUGCUUUCUGGGAAACAACCCUUUUUGAUGCUGUGUUAUAGGAUGAAGUAUAUGCUUUGAACUAGUGUCCAAUGUUUGACACUCUUUUUUCUUGUUCUCGUUAUCUAUUUCUGUAUAACUUCCCUAAAACUUAGUUGUUUAAAACAUCUUCAAAUUUACUUUGCUUACAGAUUUGUGAUUUGUAACUUUUGUUGAGCUCAGUGGAGACGGCUUAUCUGUGUUCCAUUCUCCACUUGAUGCCAGUUGGGGCAGCAAUAAGUUGGGAGCUGGAGUCAUCUAAAGGCCCACUCCAUGUCUGGUGACUGAUGCUGAAUCUGUGGCCAGAACACCUACUCACGGCCUUUCCAUAGUGCUGUUUGGUUUCUCACAACAUAGUAGCUGGAUUCCAAGGGCAAGCAUCCCAGGAGAGAGAAAUCCAGGUAGGAUCUUAGUCCCCUGACCAGGGAUGGAAUCCGUGUUCCCUGCAUUGGAAGCCUGGAAAAAGAUUCAUGAAAUGAUAAGGCCUUUUUACAUAUUUGUGCACAUGCUUAAAUGCCUGUUUUCUGGCUCCAUAAUCCAUUUACUGAAGGAAGUGAAGGUGACCAGAGAGCGUGGAUUUUCUCCCUGCACACCAUUUCCCUCCUGGAUUCACAGCUUCACCUCUUCAGUGAGCUUGGGCUUUCACUAAAGGCAAGACAAGAGGUAAUCAUUAAGCUUCAGGCCUGGUAUUAUAAACCACUCCUGAGAUCAGCAAGCACUAUGAACUGGCAACCAUCAGCAGAAGGUGGGGGAAGGAGGGAAAACUGCAGCAAAAACAAAGUACCCUCUAAUGUCUCAACAAAUUAUAGCUCACAGAAGCUGAACCCAAGACAAUGCUUUUCCUGGUAGUCUCCCUAUAGAAACCACAGGUAUUCUUUGUGCCUCCAAACACCUUUAAACUGCAUUCAAAAUUAGGGUUAUGAGUCUGGAAAUCUUUCUUUGCUAAUUUGUUGUACAUGAAUGCCUGCAGAAGCCUUUGAAUGGUAAAUGCCGUGGGGGGGGCAGUUUCCAUGGUAACUUUUCAGCGCACCUUUUUUCUUGCACUUCAAUUAGAUCUUCAUUGCUGAGCGGUUGUGAAUGAGAAGGUAACAGCUCAGUCUCAUCUGGAGGGCUGGAGGAGAUAUGAGAUCUGCAGCCUUUCUAGAUGCAGCUAUAUUCUCAGUCCGCGGAGUUGUAGUAUGCUUGUUUUGUUCCAUCUCUUCAUGGUACCCCAGCACCGCAAUGCAACACACAUGCAAAGGACCAGUUUCUUUAAUAUAGCAAGCUUACCAGUUAAUAUGAACAAUAUCAAAGCACAAUGGAAGAAAUGAGCACAGGGCAUAGAUAGGCAGCUUACAGAAAAAGAAAAUUAAUGGCUUACAUUGUAUGAAAAUGUGGUUAAUCUCAUUCACAAUGACGGAAAUACAUAUUUAAGUAAGAUUACAUUUUUCACCUACCAGACUGGAAAAGAUCUAAAAGUUUGAUAAUGUACUGUGUUUAGAGAAUGUGGAAAACCUGUCAUUUUAUAUACUCUUCUGUGGGAGGGUAAAUUGGUUUAAUCUCUUUGGAGAGUGAUUUUGCAGUUUCUCUUCUAGAAAUUCAUCCUACAAGUGUAAUUACAUUUGACUUAAAAAUACAAGUAAAAGAAUAUUGUUGAAGCAAAUGACUGGGACAGAUUAAAUGAGUUGAGGCAUCCAGACAGUUACACACACUGGACAAUGAGAGACAAACAUAUAGUUGGCUUUUCCUCAAAUUCCAGAGUUGGAUGUUCAGCCUAUUUGUGAAACACUGUUAAAGGAUAAUUCUCAAAAAAAAAGAAAGAAAGAAAGGAAAACCAUGACUCUCAUACAGACAUAAAAUUAACAAGUGCUAAAGAUUUAAUUUUGCUCAAAAUGAAGGCACUCUUGUCUGAACUUAAGUUCAUGUGUCUAGCACAUAUGAGGUCAAACAAACCAAAAAGUUGGUUUUCGGAGCAGAGAAAGGUUUAUUGCAAAGGCCAAGCAAGGUAAAUGGGCUGCUUGCGCUCAAAAGGCCUUAACUUCCCAAUGCCUUCCAGGCAAGAGGUUUAAAAGACACUGUUAGGGGAGAGGGUGGUGAGAUGCCUGAUUAGAUCGUGGACCUUCUUUUGACUGGUUGAUGGCAAGGUAACAGGAUGAUGUUUCAGGAAUCUCAGCAUUCUGGUUCCAGCCAGUCUGAGUUCUAGUGCUUGUGAUCAGCAUGUAGUCCCCUUCCUCACCUGGGUGAGGGUCUUAGUUUCUGCAGAAAUGCUCAAAGAUAUGGAUCAGAUUGUUAUCUAUAUUUCUUUCAGAAGGAACCAGGAGUCCUGUGACUCUCUUUUCCUAAUCAUUAACUGCUUGAGCCAGUAUUUUGGAACUUGGGAAAGGCCUGGAGACUGAAGCAUUUUUCUUGCAAACAAGAAACAGGGACAGGGAAAGACUUUGUAUAGAGGAGGGCUAGGCAGAUGUCAUAACUGGUUGAAAGGAGAAGUCAAGAAGCAAAGAUUCAUAUGCAGUAAAGGAAGGUUGAAAUGGAUGUGCAAAUGAGGGGUAAACUGGUUUUCAACAGGUGUGUGUGUAGGGGGUUUGUCCCUGCACCUAACAGAAUCGACUUGCGUGUCUAUAGGUAGGAGUUAUUUUGCCUUAUUAUCAGUUAUCUGUAAUUUACAGAGUGGUAAAAUAGCUCUCAUAGAAACACAAUCAGUAAUGCUGCAAGGUUGACCACACUGCAUAGUUUUCCACUGAAGCCAUUUUCUGUACAAAUUUAAGUGAUAAAUGCAAGUCUAACAGAGUGUAAAAUCCUGUGGUCCCAAUGUUCUGUAUGUAUGUGUGCACUUAGUUGUUCAGUCAUGUCCGACUCUUUGUAACCCAUGGACUGUAGCCUGCCAGGUGCCUUCGUCCAUGGGGAUUCUCCAGGCAAGAAUACUAGAGUGGGUUGCC